AACGAACGCUGGCGGCAGGCUUAACACAUGCAAGUCGAGCGCCCCGCAAGGGGAGCGGCAGACGGGUGAGCAACGCGUGGGAAUCUACCCAUCUCUACGGAAUAACGCAUGGAAACGCGUGCUAAUACCGUAUACGUCCUUCGGGAGAAAGAUUUAUCGGAGAUGGAUGAGCCCGCGUUGGAUUAGCUAGUUGGUGGGGUAAAGGCCUACCAAGGCGACGAUCCAUAGCUGGUCUGAGAGGAUGAUCAGCCACACUGGGACUGAGACACGGCCCAGACUCCUACGGGAGGCAGCAGUGGGGAAUAUUGGACAAUGGGCGCAAGCCUGGUCCAGCCAUGCCGCGUGAGUGAUGAAGGCCCUAGGGUUGUAAAGCUCUUUCACCGGUGAGGAUAAUGACGGUAACCGGAGAAGAAGCCCCGGCUAACUUCGUGCCAGCCGCCGCGGUAAGAC
rnacentral:rRNA from 1 species